rnacentral:rRNA from 1 species
AUUGAACGCUGGCGGCAUGCUUUACACAUGCCAGUCGAACGGCAGCGCGGGCUUCGGCCUGGCGGCGAGUGGCGAACGGGUGAGUAAUGCAUCGGAACGUGCCCAGUAGUGGGGGAUAGCCCGGCGAAAGCCGGAUUAAUACCGCAUACGACCUUAGGGUGAACGCGGGGGACCGAAAGGCCUCGCGCCAUUGGAGCGGCCGAUGUCGGAUUAGCUAGUUGGUGGGGUAAAGGCUUACCAAGGCGACGAUCCGUAGCUGGUCUGAGAGGACGACCAGCCACACUGGGACUGAGACACGGCCCAGACUCCUACGGGAGGCAGCAGUGGGGAAUUUUGGACAAUGGGGGCAACCCUGAUCCAGCCAUGCCGCGUGCGGGAAGAAGGCCUUCGGGUUGUAAACCGCUUUUGUUCGGGAAGAAAUCCUCUGGGCUAAUACCCCGGGGGGAUGACGGUACCGGAAGAAUAAGCACCGGCUAACUACGUG